rfam:Corynebacterium striatum ATCC 6940 genomic scaffold SCAFFOLD13, whole genome shotgun sequence.
CUGUCACUUCUUCGAAGAUGUGCGACGGAGUCCGAAGUCGUGACAGAGAGCUUGAGACGUCCAUCGCACCGUCCGCAAUAUCCAAUUGCGGCGGCCCUAACACGGGAGAGAACGCUGAGCGUUACAAC